CAAUAGCGUAUAUUUAAGUUGCUGCAGUUAAAAAGCUCGUAGUUGGAUUUCGGGUGGGAAUGGCCGGUCCGCCGUUUCGGUGUGCACUUGCUACGCCCACCUUGCUGCCGGGGACGUGCUCUUGAGUUCACGCUCGGGACACGGAGUCGGCGAGGUUACUUUGAGUAAAUUAGAGUGUUCAAAGCAGGCCUACGCUCUGAACACAUUAGCAUGGAAUAACACGAUAGGACUCUGGCCUAUCUUGUUGGUCUGUAGGACCGGAGUAAUGAUUAAGAGGGACAGUCGGGGGCAUUCGUAUUUCAUUGUCAGAGGUGAAAUUCUUGGAUUUAUGAAAGACGAACUACUGCGAAAGCAUUUGCCAAGGAUGUUUUCAUUAA
rnacentral:rRNA from 1 species